rnacentral:rRNA from 1 species
GGUAUUGAAAUAAGAUUUUAAUGAGUGCUAAGAGAAUGAUUAAACAAUUAAAAGCUUUCUUUAAUUAAAAAAUUAAAUUUAAUUUUUUUAGUGCAAAAGCAAAAAUAAAAUUUAGGGACAAGAAGACCCUAUGAAUUUUUAUUGUUAAUAAUUAAAAUUUAAGUUAUUAAUAAUUUAAUUGGGGCGAUAAAAAAAGAAUAAGUAUCUUUUUAGUUACAAAAUAAGUUCCGUUUUUAGCGAUUAAAUGAAAUAAAUACUCUAGGGAUAACAGCGUAAUAAUUUUGGAUAGUUCAUAUAGAUAAAAUAGUUUGCGACCUCGAUGUUGGAUUAGGAUUCUUUUUUGGUGAAGAA